rfam:Bacteroides coprocola DSM 17136 Scfld_02_16 genomic scaffold, whole genome shotgun sequence.
UCAGGUGACUAUUGCACGAAGGGUUCCACCUCUUCCCAUUCCGAACAGAGAAGUUAAGCUUCGUCACGCCGAUGGUACUGCGCAAGUGGGAGAGUAGGUAGUCGCCGUCU